rnacentral:rRNA from 1 species
UAGGGAAUCUUCCACAAUGGACGCAAGUCUGAUGGAGCAACGCCGCGUGAGUGAAGAAGGUUUUCGGACCGUAAAGCUCUGUUGUUGGUGAAGAAGGAUAGAGGUAGUAACUGGCCUUUAUUUGACGGUAAUCAACCAGAAAGUCACGGCUAACUACGUGCCAGCAGCCGCGGUAAUACGUAGGUGGCAAGCGUUGUCCAGAUUUAUUGGGCGUAAAGCGAGCGCAGGCGGAAGAAUAAGUCUGAUGUGAAAGCCCUCGGCUUAACCGAGGAAUUGCAUCGGAAACUGUUUUCUUGAGUGCAGAAGAGGAGAGUAGAACUCCAUGUGUAGCGGCGGAAUGCGUAGAUAUAUGGAAGAAUACCAGUGGCGAAGGCGGCUCUCUGGUCUGCAACUGACGCUGAGGCUCGAAAGCAUGGGUAGCGAACAGGAUUAGAUACCCUGGUAGUCCAUGCCGUAAACGAUGAGUGCUAAGUGUUGGGAGGCUUCCGCCUCUCAGUGCUGCAGCUAACGCAUUAAGCACUCCGCCUGGGGGAGUACGACCGCAAGGUUGAAAC